ensembl:snRNA U6 U6 spliceosomal RNA
AUGCUUUCUUUGGCAGCACAUACAGUAAAAUUGGAAUGACACACAGAAGGUUAGCAUGGGCCCUGCGCAAGGAUGACACCCAUUCUCUUGUAAUACCUGCUCCCCCAUU